GGGUUAGUAGGUUUGUCAUGCCUCCGGUAUGUACUGGUCUCACUGAUUCCUCCUUCCUGAUGAGCCUUAAUGCCAUUAAUUUGGUGUUUUGGGGAAUUUGGACUGUUACUUUGAAAAAAUUAGAGUGUUCAAAGCAGGCCUAUGCCCGAAUACAUUAGCAUGGAAUAAUAAAAUAGGACUUGCGGUUCUAUUUUGUUGGUUUCUAGAGUCGCAGUA
rnacentral:rRNA from 1 species